rnacentral:misc_RNA from 1 species
UCCGGUUUGACACCGGCAGUCUCCCUAGAGUGCCCGCCAUUACGCGCUGGCAACAUAGAACGAGGGUUGCGCUCGUUGCGGGACUUAACCCAACUUCUCACGACACGAGCUGACGACAACCAUGCACCACCUGUGAACCGGCCGCAAGCGGGGCACCUGUUUCCAGGUAUUUCCAGUCCAUGUCAAGCCUUGGUAAGGUUCUUCGCGUUGCAUCGAAUUAAUCCGCAUGCUCCACCGCUUGUGCGGGCCCCCGUCAAUUCCUUUGAGUUUCAGCCUUGCGGCCGUACUCCCCAGGCGGGGCACUUAAUGCGUUAGCGCCGGCACCCAGGGGGUCGCUCCCCCAGGCACCUAGUGCCCAUCGUUUACGGCGUGGACUAC